GUGGGGAAUAUUGCACAAUGGGCGAAAGCCUGAUGCAGCAACGCCGCGUGAAGGAAGAAGGGUUUCGGCUCGUAAACUUCUAUCGAUGGGGAAGAAACAAAUGACGGUACCCAAAUAAGAAGCCCCGGCUAACUACGUGCCAGCAGCCGCGGUAAUACGUAGGGGGCAAGCGUUAUCCGGAAUUACUGGGUGUAAAGGGAGCGUAGGCGGCAUGGUAAGCCAGAUGUGAAAGCCCGAAGCUUAACUUCGAGGAUUGCAUUUGGAACUAUCAAGCUAGAGUACAGGAGAGGUAAGUGGAAUUCCUAGUGUAGCGGUGAAAUGCGUAGAUAUUAGGAAGAACACCAGUGGCGAAGGCGACUUACUGGACUGAAACUGACGCUGAGGCUCGAAAGCGUGGGGAGCGAACAGGAUUAGAAACCCGAGUAGUCC
rnacentral:rRNA from 1 species